rnacentral:rRNA from 1 species
CAAUAGCGUAUAUUAAAGUUGUUGCGGUUAAAAAGCUCGUAGUUGGAUUUCUGUUGGGAACGACCGGUCCGCCCACUGGGUGUGUAUCUGGCUUGUUCUCGGCAUCUUCUUGGUGAACGUUGCUGCACUUGACUGUGUGGAGCGCUACCCAGGACUUUUACUUUGAGGAAAUUAGAGUGUUUCAAGCAGGCAUAUGCCUUGAAUACAUUAGCAUGGAAUAAUAAGAUAGGACCUCGGUUCUAUUUUGUUGGUUUCUAGAGCUGAGGUAAUGAUUAAUAGGGAUAGUUGGGGGCAUUCGUAUUUAACUGUCAGAGGUGAAAUUCUUGGAUUUGUUAAAGACGGACUACUGCGAANGNAUUUGGNAAGGAUGUUUNCAUUG